UACGUAGGGUGCGAGCGUUGUCCGGAAUUACUGGGCGUAAAGAGCUCGUAGGUGGUUUGUCGCGUUGUUCGUGAAAUCUCACGGCUUAAUUGUGAGCGUGCGGGCGAUACGGGCAGACUAGAGUACUGCAGGGGAGACUGGAAUUCCUGGUGUAGCGGUGGAAUGCGCAGAUAUCAGGAGGAACACCGGUGGCGAAGGCGGGUCUCUGGGCAGUAACUGACGCUGAGGAGCGAAAGCGUGGGGAGCGAACAGG
rnacentral:rRNA from 1 species